GAUGAACGCUGGCGGCGUGCCUAAUACAUGCAAGUCGAGCGAACGGACGAGAAGCUUGCUUUUCUGAUGUUAGCGGCGGACGGGUGAGUAACACGUGGAUAACCUACCUAUAAGACUGGGAUAACUUCGGGAAACCGGAGCUAAUACCGGAUAAUAUUUUGAACCGCAUGGUUCAAAAGUGAAAGACGGUCUUGCUGUCACUUAUAGAUGGAUCCGCGCUGCAUUAGCUAGUUGGUAAGGUAACGGCUUACCAAGGCAACGAUGCAUAGCCGACCUGAGAGGGUGAUCGGCCACACGGGAACUGAGACACGGUCCAGACUCCUACGGGAGGGAGCAGUAGGGAAUCGUCCGCAAUGGGCGAGAGCCUGACGGAGCAACGCCGCGUGAGUGAUGAAGGUCUUCGGAGCGUAAAACUCUGUUAUUAGGGAAGAACAUAUGUGUAAGUAACUGUGCACAUCUUGACGGUACCUAAUCAGAAAGCCACGGCUAACUACGUG
rnacentral:rRNA from 1 species